AGAGUUUGAUCWUGGCUCAGAUUGAACGCUGGCGGCAUGCUUUACACAUGCAAGUCGAACGGCAGCACGGGGGCAACCCUGGUGGCGAGUGGCGAACGGGUGAGUAACACAUCGGAACGUGCCCAGUAAUGGGGGAUAGCCCGGCGAAAGCCGGAUUAAUACCGCAUACGCCCUGAGGGGGAAAGCGGGGGACCGAAAGGCCUCGCGUUAUUGGAGCGGCCGAUGGCUGAUUAGCUAGUUGGUAGGGUAAAGGCCUACCAAGGCGACGAUCAGUAGCUGGUCUGAGAGGACGACCAGCCACACUGGGACUGAGACACGGCCCAGACUCCUACGGGAGGCAGCAGUGGGGAAUUUUGGACAAUGGGCGAAAGCCUGAUCCAGCAAUGCCGCGUGUGCGAAGAAGGCCUUCGGGUUGUAAAGCACUUUUACCAGGAACGAAAAGUUUGGCUCUAAUAAAGUCGGACGAUGACGGUACCUGGAGAAUAAGCACCGGCUAACUACGUGCCAGCAGCCGCGGUAAUACA
rnacentral:rRNA from 1 species